rnacentral:rRNA from 1 species
UACGUAGGGUGCAAGCGUUGUCCGGAAUUAUUGGGCGUAAAGAGCUCGUAGGCGGCUUGUUGCGUCGACUGUGAAAGCCCGUGGCUUAACCGCGUGGUCUGCAGUCGAUACGGGCAGGCUAGAGUUCGGUAGGGGGAGACUGGAAUUCCUGGUGUAGCGGUGAAAUGCGCAGAUAUCUGGAGGAACACCGGUGGCGAAGGCGGCAUCCUGGACCAUUACUGACGCUGAGGAGCGAAAGCCAGGGGAGCAAACGG